CGGCUUGUAUCAAGUGUAGGUCUAUCAUCGAUAAUAUUUUUUGUGUUCAUCAGAUUCUUUAUCAUGCUAGACAUUCUCCUCGCAAAGGCAUUCUAUGUAAGUUUGAUAUCAGCAAUGCAUUCAACAAGCUUGAUCUUAACUAUUUGAUUAGGCUUCUUAAGCAUCAUGGCUUCCCAACCAUGUAGCUCUUAUGGAUGGAAAAUAUUCUCUUUUCUUCAAAGGUAGCGGCG
rnacentral:lncRNA from 1 species